rnacentral:rRNA from 1 species
AGCAGCCGCGGUAAUUCCAGCUCCAAUAGCGUAUAUUAAAGUUGUUGCAGUUAAAAAGCUCGUAGUUGAAUUUCGGGAUCGACAGGUUGGUCGCGCCUUCGGUGUGUACUGGUCUAGUCGGUUUCUCCCUUCUGACGAACCAUGAUGUCAUUAAUUUGGUGUCGUGGGAAAUCAGGACUGUUACUUUGAAAAAUUAGAGUGUUUAAAGCAGGCAUUAGCUUGAAUACAUUAGCAUGGAAUAAUGAAAUAGGACGUUUGAUCCUAUUUUGUUGGUUUCUAGAAUCGACGUAAUGAUUAAUAGGGAUAGUUGGGGGCAUUAUUAUUCAAUUGUCAGAAGUGAAAUUCUUGGAUUUAUUGAAGACUAACUACUGCGAAAGCAUUUGCCAAGGAUGUUUUCAUUAAUCAAGAACGAAAGUUAGGGGAUCGAAGACGAUCAGAUACCGUCGUAGU